AAGGUCAGGCUGAAGACCUUACCCGAUUAGCUGAGAGGUGGUGCAUGGCCGUCGUCAGUUCGUACUGUGAAGCAUCCUGUUAAGUCAGGCAACGAGCGAGACCCACGUCCACAGUUGCCAGCAUACCCUCCGGGGUGAUGGGUACACUGUGGAGACCGCCGCUGCUAAAGCGGAGGAAGGAGUGGGCAACGGUAGGUCAGUAUGCCCCGAAUCUCCCGGGCUACACGCGGGCUACAAUGGUUGGUACAAUGGGCAUCUACCCCGAAAGGGGAAGGAAAUCUCUUAAAGCCAAUCGUAGUUCGGAUUGAGGGCUGCAACUCGCCCUCAUGAAGCUGGAAUCCGUAGUAAUCGCGUUUCAACAGAACGCGGUGAAUACGUCCCUGCUCCUC
rnacentral:rRNA from 1 species